AAUACAAAGAUUGCGCCGAUAGGGGUGCAAAAAUUUUUCGUUCUGCGCAUCUACGUCAUAAUAUAAAAGUUGUUGUUGGCGAUCUGUCAAAUCGCAUACAAUUUCGACGAAAAAAAGUAAAUAUAGCAUAAAAUUUAGUUGAAAGUCUAAAAUAAAACAAUCUGGUGGCAAUUUAUUGAAUCGAGAAGACGGUAGUGGGUAGGGCGUUCAAAUAAAAAUUGCAUUCUGUGGCCGCCGUUGCGCUGGCAAAUGGAACGAGUAAGAUUUCCAAAUGAAAUUGAAGCCACAGCAAAUAGUGCAUAGCUCCAAGGCUUGGAAACAAAUAUAGAAGCUAUACGAUGCCAGAAAGACUACAGAGAAUCGAAGAGGAAAUACAAUGCCAACAUAAAAUUAAACUGCCAAGGCAUAAGCAGGAAUUUUUACCUGAAACUGUGACGCCUGCCCACAGCAUCAAAUAAGGAUAUCGUUCCAAUGAAACCCAAUAUUAACGACGUAUUUUGACGACGAUGAACUCUUUGCGAACGCUCCGGGUUUUCAUCACCGGGCUUGUAAAUUGAUGGCACGGAGCCUCGUUUCAACAAUCUUCUUUUUGCAUAACCUUAGAAAUGUUUUAAACACUUUCAUUAAUAUAAACACAAUAAACGAAAUAAAUAAACAUCCUACCCAUUUCGAA
rnacentral:lncRNA from 1 species